UUUUUUUUUUUUUUUAAUUAAAGACUCGUUGUCAUGAGUAUCUUCACAUCUUGUCACUUUCUAAACAAAAUGACAAAAUAAUCCAGGAUUCAAUUAUCUAACUUGAGAAGCAAAACUUGACAUUGAAAGUUUAGCCAAUAACAAUUAAUAUGUAUAACCAUAUCCAAUAUCACCUGAGAAGCAUCAUGGCAAAAAGGAGCUCAAUUUUGGCCAUGAGCAUGAACUCCCGAUCAGCCUUCUCAGG
rnacentral:misc_RNA from 1 species